rnacentral:rRNA from 1 species
CGCCUGUUUAUCAAAAACAUCUUUUCUUGUUAGUUUUUGAAGUAUGGCCUGCCCGCUGACUUUAGUGUUGAAGGGCCGCGGUAUUUUGACCGUGCAAAGGUAGCAUAGUCAUUAGUUCUUUAAUUGUGAUCUGGUAUGAAUGGCUUGACGAGGCAUGGGCUGUCUUAAUUUUGAAUUGUUUAUUGAAUUUGGUCUUUGAGUUAAAAUUCUUAGAUGUUUUUAUGGGACGAGAAGACCCUAUAGAGUUUAACAUUUAUUAUGGUCCUUUUCUGUUUGUGAGGGCUCACUGGGCCGUCUAAUAUGUUUUGUUGGGGUGAUGGGAGGGAAUAAUUUAACCCCUCCUUUUUAUUAUUAUAUUUAUUUAUAUUUAUUUGAUCCAUUUAUUUUGAUUGUAAGAUUAAAUUACCUUAGGGAUAACAGCGUAA